rnacentral:rRNA from 1 species
ACGGGUGAGUAAUACAUCGGAACGUAUCCUGGAGUGGGGGAUAGCCCGGCGAAAGCCGGAUUAAUACCGCAUACGCUCUGAGGAGGAAAGCGGGGGACCUUCGGGCCCCGCGCUCAAGGGGCGGCCGAUGGCGGAUUAGGAAGUUGGUGGGGUAAAGGCCUACCAAGCCGACGAUCCGUAGCUGGUCUGAGAGGACGACCAGCCACACUGGGACUGAGACACGGCCCAGACUCCUACGGGAGGCAGCAGUGGGGAAUUUUGGACAAUGGGGGCAACCCUGAUCCAGCAAUGCCGCGUGUGUGAAGAAGGCCUUCGGGUUGUAAAGCACUUUUGUCCGGAAAGAAAUCAUCGGGGCCAAUACCCCUGGUGGAUGACGGUACCGGAAGAAUAAGCACCGGCUAACUACGUGCCAGCAGCCGCGGUAAUACGUAGGGUGCGAGCGUUAAUCGGAAUUACUGGGCGUAAAGCGUGCGCAGGCGGUGCUGUAAGACCGAUGUGAAAUCCCCGGGCUUAACCUGGGAACUGCAUUGGUGACUGCAGCGCUGGAGUAUGGCAGAGGGGGGUGGAAUUCCACGU